AUGGGGGGCCUUUAAUGGGCUCAUUUGUUUGGAUGCCCCCAUCGGUUAGAUAUUUUCUAGGCCACAAAAAAAAGGUUGGUCGCAAAAUUAGAGAAGGUUGAGGCGGGCGUCUGGCAUGGAGGCGGAGGCAAAGGCGACCUGGGCGGCGGCGCCUGGCUCGGGAGCGGCGACUGCCGACGGGGGCUUCCCUGUAGAUCCGGUGUGCAGCGAAGGUUGCCAAUCUUCCCAGGCGUGGCGGUCUCGGCGGGUUCGGUCCAAGAUGAAGUCAGCGAUGGUGCUGGCUGGAGGAGACGUUGGGUUGUUGCCUCUUCUGUGGCUGCCCAUGACAGCUGUGCCGCCGGCGCUGCCGAAUGCAGUGGAGAGAGCGCCCCAGCGGAGUCGGGAGAGUCAGCUGUGAAACCUGAUCCGAAAUCUGUAGGCUGGAUAAGAAGGGGAAACCCCUUCGAGAAAAUACAAGACCGUGUAGGUGCAAGUGCCCUGCAAUGAUUAGGCUGUUGAGGACAUCGGACAACGGGUGGUACAUCACAGAGCAUCCUGUCAAGCAUAAUCAUGUCAUGACGCCAAAUUGUGGUGAAAUGUUGCACUGGCGUCACACAAGCAUAUUGACGUGUACACGAGAGACCUUGUUCGUAACCUAAGGAAGAACAACAUCAACCUGAGCAAGGUGUACAACAUAAUUGGAGGGUUCUUUGGGACAGUGGAGAAUGUGCCUUUUACGAAAAGAUCUCUUCGGAGCCUGUGUGGGCAAAUUAGCAGGGACGAGGCAGAGGACGACGUGAGGAAUACAAGUUUUCGAUGAACUAGGUGCAAAGGACCCGGCUAAAUGGCCCAACUCCGCGAUGGACGGCCCUCUUAAACACCGUAACGGGAGUGUUAGACAACGUUACAUCACGAUCCAGGAGAAGGUGUUCAGCUGGCACUAGGGAUAGAGAUAGAUCUUGGUUGUUAGUUUAAACAUAUUACAAUUGUAACCAUCUUUAUCUCCUUCCUCCUUCUCCAAGUAAUCUCAUCCGAGAUUCCCUCUCUGUAACGAUCUUCUGAUCGCCCUCCUGUACCGAUCGUUGGGGUCGCGUCCCCCUCUCCAUAUAACGUGAACCACGUCCCUCGAGAGAGGUAAGACGUUUUCCGCUA